GAUGAACGCUGGCGGCGUGCCUAAUACAUGCAAGUCGAGCGAACAGACGAGGAGCUUGUUCCUCUGACGUUAGCGGCGGACGGGUGAGUAACACGUGGAUAAUCUACCUAUAAGACUGGGAUAACUUCGGGAAACCGGAGCUAAUACCGGAUAAUAUAUUGAACCGCAUGGUUCAAUAGUGAAAGACGGUUUUGCUGUCACUUAUAGAUGGAUCCGCGCCGCAUUAGCUAGUUGGUAAGGUAACGGCUUACCAAGGCAACGAUGCGUAGCCGACCUGAGAGGGUGAUCGGCCACACUGGAACUGAGACACGGUCCAGACUCCUACGGAGGGCAGCAGUAGAGAAUCUUCCGCAAUGGGCGAAAGCUUGACGGAGCAACGCCGCGUGGGUGAUGAAGGUCUUCGGAUCGUAAAGCUCUGUUAUUAGGGAAGAACAAAUGUGUAAGUAACUAUGCACGUCUUGACGGUACCUAAUCAGAAAGCCACGGCUAACUACGUG
rnacentral:rRNA from 1 species